UAACACAUGGAAAUGGCUAGAAAUUAAGAAUAUUAAAAAAAUGGGCCAAAAAUAUACAAUAUUUAAGGAAUAAUAGGGUGUUUAAAAAUAAAGUAUGGUAAAUAUCAAACAAAACAAUAAAGACAGAGAAAAAUGGCAAAGAAAUUUAAUAAUACAUAGAGAAGUGAAGUCUUGUCCUCAUUGAGUUUUCUAUGUUGUGUCAUGUGUGCUGUAAUGUUUGUUUGUCUUUUUCAUUUUUAGCCAUGGCGUUGUCAGUUUGUUUUAGAUUUAUAAGUUUGACCUACAGUCCCUUUGGUAUCUUUCGUUCCUCUUUUAGAACCUCUUUUAUGUAUAUUGCUUUAUAAAAUUUGGUCUUGAAAAUAGUUGAUUAAGGAUUAGUUGAGGAAACAUAUGUUGUUCAAUGUGUAAUUGGUAUUAUACAUAUAUAUUGGCAGGGAGGCAGAUGUAUAGUAAAUAUUGUCUUUUAUCAAUGAUUAUUUACAUGAUUGGUUUUUGAAGCUUUAAUUUACAAGCAAAUUCCUAAUAUAAAAAUACAAAGAUGUCAGCAGGGGCGGUUCCAGCCAUUUUAAAAAGGGGGGUUCCAACUACAUGUCCCUAUUCAAAUGAAUUGAUCGGCCAAAAAAAAAAUUGAUUAUUUUAGGGAUUUUGGGAAUCGCUGAAGCAUGACUGAAGCUGGUCCCCUGGCUUAUUAGCCAUCAUUGCCACUCACCUCCCUUUCAAGUUUUGGAUCCACCACUGACUGGAGUCUCCUAAUUUAAUUAUUUUGUUACAAGGGAAAACAGAAAUUCUUAAGUGAUGGUGUUCCAGAAAAAUGUGAAACAAAGAUUUAUUAACUGUUUUAGCAGUAAGGGAGCUACCAUUUGAUUUUUAUGGGGGGGUAGCUAGGAUGAAAAUUUUGUCCUGCAUUUUGUUUAGCUGUAAUCUCUCUCCGGAUUUAUAUUUUUCACUCUGUUCGAUCCUGCCUUUUUUUUUUUAGUUUAUCCUGACUUUUUUUUACCUAAAUUGUCGUCCUGACUUUUUUUUUGCAAGUGUCUCAUCCUGCCUUUUUUUUUUACUCAAAACUCCUGUCCUGCCUAUUUUUAGCUCCCUAAUUAAUUAACUGAACAGUGUACCUUUAAAACCCAUGCAGUCUUUGGCAGAUACUUAUUAACCAUGACCAGAUAAGAUAAAUUCUUACAUUAGUGAUCAUAAUUAUGCCAAUGUACUUGAAGCUUGCUUAUAAUUUCAUGAUUUCAUAAAAUCACAUUCAUUUCCAGUUGAACGGUGUUGAUGACCACAGGUGAAGACUCUCCUAGCUGUAUCAUCUUUUUUUUUUUAAAAAAAAGGGGUGUGGGAGAGAUAAGGUGAUUGUUUGUUUUGAAUAAAUUCUAGUAGCCUUAUUUCAUCCUAAAUAUCCAUUCAUCUUCUAUCUAUAAUACUAAAAUUACGAGGUCCAAUUUGUCAGCCGUCAUCACGUAAAAACGACGAAUCAAAGAAUUCAACUUUAUAUAUAACUAAUAUAGUACAAAGGUGUAGAUUAAAAAUUACACCACUCCAGGUCCUUUUGUUUUCCACGUAAUUAAUAUUGCCAAUAAUUAAGAAGUUCCGGGUCGAGUCCGAUACCGAUACCAAUAGUAUAUUCACCUGUUACCGAUUACCUUAUCUGUACGUUCCGCAUCUGACAGGCGCACCACCAAACGGUGUAUUCAGGAUUAAUAUGCUAUAUAGUAUUACACGGGUCAUAAUCACAGGGUUGACACUACUUAAUUGUCAAAUUGUUACCUAUUGUAGUAUUUUAAUCAGUUAGACUUUCUAAGAUAACAAUACGAAUACUAAAAAUCUGGACUAAAGGUACAGUUUUCAAUUUGUUAGCGGGCAUGACGUAAAACAGCGAAUCAAAGAAUUCAAUAUUUAUAACUAAUAUAGGAC
rnacentral:lncRNA from 1 species